CACUCCUACGGGAGGCAGCAGUGGGGAAUUUUGGACAAUGGGCGAAAGCCUGAUCCAGCCAUGCCGCGUGCAGGAUGAAGGCCUUCGGGUUGUAAACUGCUUUUGUACGGAACGAAACGGCCUUUUCUAAUAAAGAGGGCUAAUGACGGUACCGUAAGAAUAAGCACCGGCUAACUACGUGCCAGCAGCCGCGGUAAUACGUAGGGUGCAAGCGUUAAUCGGAAUUACUGGGCGUAAAGCGUGCGCAGGCGGUUAUGUAAGACAGUUGUGAAAUCCCCGGGCUCAACCUGGGAACUGCAUCUGUGACUGCAUAGCUAGAGUACGGUAGAGGGGGAUGGAAUUCCGCGUGUAGCAGUGAAAUGCGUAGAUAUGCGGAGGAACACCGAUGGCGAAGGCAAUCCCCUGGACCUGUACUGACGCUCAUGCACGAAAGCGUGGGGAGCAAACAGGAUUAGAAACCCCAGUAGUCCCAUGA
rnacentral:rRNA from 1 species